GAUGAAAACGUAGCGAAAUGCGAUAAGUAGUGUGAAUUGCAGAAUUCAGUGAAUCAUCGAAUCUUUGAACGCACAUUGCGCCCCUUGGUAUCCCGAGGGGCAUGCCUGUUCGAGCGUCAUUUCACCACUCAAGCCUGGCUUGGUGUUGGGCGACGUCCCCUUUGGGGACGCGCCUCGAAACGCUCGGCGGCGUGGCACCGGCUUUAAGCGUAGCAGAAUCUUUCGCUUUGGAAGUCGGGGCCCCGUCUGCCGGAAGACCUACUCGCAAGGUUGACCUCGGAUCAGGCAGGGAUACCCGCUGAACUUAAGCAUAUCAAUAAGCGGAGGA
rnacentral:misc_RNA from 1 species